CCUACGGGGGGCAGCAGUGGGGAAUAUUGCACAAUGGGGGAAACCCUGAUGCAGCGACGCCGCGUGAGUGAAGAAGUAUUUCGGUACGUAAAGCUCUAUCAGCAGGGAAGAAAAUGACGGUACCUGACUAAGAAGCCCCGGCUAACUACGUGCCAGCAGCCGCGGUAAUACGUAGGGGGCAAGCGUUAUCCGGAUUUACUGGGUGUAAAGGGAGCGUAGACGGCAGCGCAAGUCUGGAGUGAAAUCCCAUGGCUUAACCAUGGAACUGCUUUGGAAACUGUGCAGCUAGAGUGCAGGAGAGGUAAGCGGAAUUCCUAGUGUAGCGGUGAAAUGCGUAGAGAUUAGGAGGAACACCAGUGGCGAAGGCGGCUUACUGGACUGUAACUGACGUUGAGGCUCGAAAGCGUGGGGAGCAAACAGGAUUAGAUACCCGAGUAGUC
rnacentral:rRNA from 1 species